UGUCUCAGUUCGAGGAUCACUUUAGAGUUUAACAACAAAUCCUGCAACGUUACAAUCGGCCGAUGUAUGGUCCCAGCAGAGACUUCUUACUUGGAUUGGUGUAUUAGCCGGUUAGCUAGUCAGUUGUAUGCAUCUACCCUUACAAAUCACACGAUUAAACACGAACAUCCACUACUGAUCUGCUGCAGAGUCGGUCUGGAGCUUUUGGUACACUGAACAGAUCGACUUUAAUCACACAGGGUCACGUUACGCUUAGCUAAAAUCAUAACAAUCGGUCUGCGCGUAAACACAUAACGUUAAAUCAACAGAUUCGUGAAUGUCUGUCAUAGUCUACUUCUCUGAUCUCAGGCUGCGCUUAAUGACAUCGUGAUUCCUAAAUAGGCGAGAUUAUUUUGUCGCGGUAAACCCAUCUAGUUUGCCACCUAUUCCGCAGCAUCGACCGACACUGAUCGUCAACUAGCCGAGUGUAAUGUUGGCAGUGUGAAUGAAGCACUUCCGGGCCACAUCGCCGUCAAAACAAAAGUCCAUAAACAUAUAAAAUACCUAGACGCCUCAUUUGCCGUUGGAUCCGGAUCGUACGUCAACGGCGCCGCCAUAUUGGUCCGGGCAACUUGCCGUAACUCUCAUAAGUGGACUGAACACAGAUCCCGGAUUCCCUGACUGUUUUGAGGUUUUACAAAUCGUCGUAAAAUUCUAAAGAUUUCUCUGGAAAUGACCUUUCACAUCCAGUAGAACCAGGACAGCACAAACCUCAUGGAAGUCUGAAGAAAGCCAUGAUCAGUCUUGCCCGGACCAAUAUGGCGGAUGAUAUUGACGUAUCGCAGCAACGGUCCAAAGCGGCCAAUGAGGGACAUCGUUGAGCCAAAGGAUGUGGAAGACUGUGAGGACGCCCCCCUAAGCAACACAACCUUGAAGCAAGAGUGGGAGAACAGGUGCAGGACAAUCUGGCUGCUAAUGUGUCUGCUCUUCAUUCGCCUGCUCUCCAUGAGCAUGACUAAUACAUUUAAACAGCUUAAAACUUUUUACAAUUCAUGCUCAGCAUUCCAUUUCUUGCCCAAUUUAAUUACAUAUGUUUACAAUUACGUUAUUUUUUGUUAUAGCUCCAUUACUUUUGUUGUGUAGUGGACUAAACCACUGAACUGGUAAGCAGAAGGUUGCUGAUUCGAUCUCAGAAUCAGCCGUCGCCACCAGUGUGUUCUUAAGCAAGGCUCUUUACUCUAGGUUGCUCCAGGGUGAUUGGGGGUUCCUGUAAUAAGAGCACUGUAAGUCGCUUUGGACAAAAAAAUCUGCCAAAUGCAUAAAUGUAAAUAAAGGUAAAUGUGAUUUUUGUAUGUGUGUGCUU
ensembl:lncRNA